GGUAUACUCACCGCUGCGCAGCGUCCCGGUUGGCGGGCCGCGCAGGCCGGGCCGCCGCGGAAAGGAAAGGCCGGAGCCCUCCGGCUCCCUCCCCUGGGACACUUCCUGCACCGCUCUAGGACCGAGGAGGUCUCCUCAUCUCAGUGGUUCGCUUCCCCGCCUCCUGGCCGAGGUGUACGCGGGGGGUGACAUCCGACACCCCCGGCCCGCCUGGACCGCCCCGCCCCGCCCCGCUCCGUGCUCUCCCGGCCUGGGCGCGGGGCCCGGGCUUUAGCUUUGUGGGCCUUCCUAGCGGGCUCGGGAUGCGCGCGCGACCCGGCGGGACCCGGGCGCUGGGGGCCAGUUCGCGCGGCCACCAGCCAGAGAGGAGGCCGGCCUGGGGCUUCGCUCUUCCCUGCUCCUCUUGUGUGGGCGCAGGGAAGGGCUGGUCUGGCGACGCUGGCGAAAUGCCAGAAUUGGGAGGAGGAGGGAUGAGGUGUAAGGGGAUCUCCCUGUGACCAUUCGCAUCCCUUGUGUGCCGUUGUGCCCCAAUCCCUUCCAGCCACAAUUCCAUUUCAAAGGCAACGCUGCCAGAGUCACCCAAAUCAGUACGGCUGGAGAAAUGCAGACCCAGCGAUCCGCGGUGCUCGCCGAAGCAUCGGCCCGCGCCUUCGUGGCUUGGAGAUGAUCUACAAUUUCUCUGUUUAAGGAAGACUGUAGCACUCUGGGUCCCUCUGAGCAACCAGGACAGUCCUGGUACAUGGUAGGAAUUCAGUUCCCUUAAAGAAGGUGGUUUGAUAGAGACACCCCACCACCGGCGGACUUCGGGCUUCCGUUUCCUUCUAAUAACUGGGACGAUCACUUCCGACUAGUAGAGCCUGGAAUAGGGACUAAUAGAUUGGGUUCGGGAAUCAGAACACCUGUGUUAAAUCAUACCCAUCUAAGCGCAGUCAGGUGAUCUAAGGCCUGCGUGACCUCUCUGUGCGUCAGGGAUCACACUUGGAUGCGUGUGUAAGCUGUGCUGUAGCUAGUUCAGGUACUGAAUCUUUAGAACUUGCUGGAACUCGUUGCCUUGGUCUAUUUUGGCAGGUAUGGGAUACUCAAAGCAUUUAUCAUUCUUCUUGCUGUAUACAAUUGGUUAUAUUCUUUUGUAUGACUCCAAGAGGUUAAGUUAGACGUUCCUCUGAUGCUCGUGAUCCUGCGUGUCUAGCUGCUUACAUAGUGUCACUGAAUCUUACCUGAACUCUCAUGCUCAUUCUCUCUCACUUCUCUUUCCUCCUUCUGGUCCUCUUGCUUCCCUUCAGCCUCCUUUAGAACUCAUUAUCCUUUAGCGUAAUACCAUCCUUAACCAGCAGUUUAACUCCCCACUCCCUCAAAGGGGACUCAUUUGUCUCACUAAUGCUUAUGCAUGUAUUACUGUAAUAAAGUAAGUUUCUUAAAUGU
ensembl:processed_transcript 4933439C10Rik RIKEN cDNA 4933439C10 gene